GCCGGCUUGGCCAAGCGGUAAGGCGUCGCACUCGUAAUGCGAAGAUCUACGGUUCGAUUCCGUAAGUCGGCA
rnacentral:tRNA from 1 species